rnacentral:rRNA from 1 species
GACGAACGCUGGCGGCGCGCCUAACACAUGCAAGUCGAACGAGCAAAGAGGAGCUUGCUUCUCUGAGCGAGUGGCGAACGGGUGAGUAACGCGUGAGGAACCUGCCUCAAAGAGGGGGACAACAGUUGGAAACGACUGCUAAUACCGCAUAAGCCCACGGGUCGGCAUCGACCAGAGGGAAAAGGAGCAAUCCGCUUUGAGAUGGCCUCGCGUCCGAUUAGCUAGUUGGUGAGGUAACGGCCCACCAAGGCAACGAUCGGUAGCCGGACUGAGAGGUUGAACGGCCACAUUGGGACUGAGACACGGCCCAGACUCCUACGGGAGGCAGCAGUGGGGAAUAUUGCACAAUGGGGGGAAACCCUGAUGCAGCGACGCCGCGUGGAGGAAGAAGGUCUUCGGAUUGUAAAGCUCUAUCAGCAGGGAAGAAGAAAUGACGGUACCUGACUAAGAAGCACCGGCUAAAUACGUG